rnacentral:rRNA from 1 species
AAUAGAUACCCUGGUAGUCCUGGCCCUAAACGAUGGGUACUAGGUAGUGGACUUACAUGGGUUCACUGCCGAAGCAAAAGUGAUAAGUACCCCGCCUGGGGAGUAUGGUCGCAAGGCUGAAACUCGAAAGGAAUUGACGAGGGCUCACACAAGCGGUGGAGCAUGUGGCUUAAUUCGAGGCUACGCGAAGAACCUUAUCCUGGACUUGACACGUGCGAAAGCGGUAGGAAGUAGGGUGCGGAAACGUUACCCCAACGGUAUCCAGUCCGGAACCUACCACAGGUGCUGCAUGGCUGUCGUCAGCUCGUGUCGUGAGAUGUCGGGUUAAGUCCCAUAACGAGCGAAACCCCUGUCUCCAGUUGCCAGCGAGUCAUGUCGGGGACUCUGGAGAGACUGCCGGUGUUAAACCGGAGGAAGGUGGGGAUGACGUCAAGUCCUCAUGGCCUUUAUGUCCAGGGCUGCACACGUGCUACAUUGGCCGAUACAGAGGGUUGCGAUACCGCGAGGUGGAGCGAAUCCCAAAAAGUCGGUCUCGGUUCGGAGUUG